rnacentral:rRNA from 1 species
GCUUACGGCCAUACCAGCCGGG